GAUGAACGCUGGCGGCGUGCCUAAUACAUGCAAGUCGAGCGAACAGACGAGGAGCUUGCUCCUCUGACGUUAGCGGCGGACGGGUGAGUAACACGUGGAUAACCUACCUAUAAGACUGGGAUAACUUCGGGAAACCGGAGCUAAUACCGGAUAAUAUAUUCAACCGCAUGGUUCAAUAGUGAAAGACGGUUUUGCUGUCACUUAUAGACGGAUCCGCGCCGCAUUAGCUAGUUGGUAAGGUAACGGCUUACCAAGGCAACGAUGCGUAGCCGACAUGAGAGGGUGAUCGGCCACACUGGAACUGAGACACGGUCCAGACUCCUACGGGAGGCAGCAGUAGGGAAUCUUCCGCAAUGGGCGAAAGCCUGACGGAGCAACGCCGCGUGAGUGAUGAAGGUCUUCGGAUCGUAAAACUCUGUUAUUAGGGAAGAACAAAUGUGUAAGUAACUAUGCACGUCUUGACGGUACCUAAUCAGAAAGCCACGGCUAACUACGUG
rnacentral:rRNA from 1 species